AGGGGGCGGGCCUACCAUGCAAGUCGAGCGGUAGCACAGAGAGCUUGCUCUCGGGUGACGAGCGGCGGACGGGUGAGUAAUGUCUGGGAAACUGCCUGAUGGAGGGGGAUAACUACUGGAAACGGUAGCUAAUACCGCAUAACGUCGCAAGACCAAAGUGGGGGACCUUCGGGCCUCAUGCCAUCAGAUGUGCCCAGAUGGGAUUAGCUAGUAGGUGGGGUAACGGCUCACCUAGGCGACGAUCCCUAGCUGGUCUGAGAGGAUGACCAGCCACACUGGAACUGAGACACGGUCCAGACUCCUACGGGAGGCAGCAGUGGGGAAUAUUGCACAAUGGGCGCAAGCCUGAUGCAGCCAUGCCGCGUGUGUGAAGAAGGCCUUCGGGUUGUAAAGCACUUUCAGCGGGGAGGAAGGCGAUAAGGUUAAUAACCUUGUCGAUUGACGUUACCCGCAGAAGAAGCACCGGCUAACUCCGUGCCAGCAGCCGCGGUAAUACGGAGGGUGCAAGCGUUAAUCGGAAUUACUGGGCGUAAAGCGCACGCAGGCGGUCUGUCAAGUCGGAUGUGAAAUCCCCGGGCUCAACCUGGGAACUGCAUUCGAAACUGGCAGGCUAGAGUCUUGUAGAGGGGGGUAGAAUUCCAGGUGUAGCGGUGAAAUGCGUAGAGAUCUGGAGGAAUACCGGUGGCGAAGGCGGCCCCCUGGACAAAGACUGACGCUCAGUGCGAAAGCGUGGGGAGCAAACAGGAUUAGAUACCCUGGUAGUCCACGCCGUAAACGAUGUCGAUUUGGAGGUUGUGCCCUUGAGGCGUGGCUUCCGGAGCUAACGCGUUAAAUCGACCGCCUGGGGAGUACGGCCGCAAGGUUAAAACUCAAAUGAAUUGACGGGGGCCCGCACAAGCGGUGGAGCAUGUGGUUUAAUUCGAUGCAACGCGAAGAACCUUACCUGGUCUUGACAUCCACAGAACUUUCCAGAGAUGGAUUGGUGCCUUCGGGAACUGUGAGACAGGUGCUGCAUGGCUGUCGUCAGCUCGUGUUGUGAAAUGUUGGGUUAAGUCCCGCAACGAGCGCAACCCUUAUCCUUUGUUGCCAGCGGUCCGGCCGGGAACUCAAAGGAGACUGCCAGUGAUAAACUGGAGGAAGGUGGGGAUGACGUCAAGUCAUCAUGGCCCUUACGACCAGGGCUACACACGUGCUACAAUGGCAUAUACAAAGAGAAGCGACCUCGCGAGAGCAAGCGGACCUCAUAAAGUAUGUCGUAGUCCGGAUUGGAGUCUGCAACUCGACUCCAUGAAGUCGGAAUCGCUAGUAAUCGUAGAUCAGAAUGCUACGGUGAAUACGUUCCCGGGCCUUGUACACACCGCCCGUCACACCAUGGGAGUGGGUUGCAAAAGAAGUAGGUAGCUUAACCUUCGGGAGGGCGCUUACCACUUGGAUACCC
rnacentral:rRNA from 1 species